rnacentral:rRNA from 1 species
UACAGAGGGUGCUAGCGUUGUUCGGAUUCAUUGGGCGUAAAGGGUGCGUAGGCGGCGCGGUAAGUCGGGUGUGAAAUCUCGGGGCUUAACUCCGAAACUGCAUUCGAUACUGCCGUGCUUGAGGACUGGAGAGGAGACUGGAAUUUACGGUGUAGCGGUGAAAUGCGUAGAGAUCGGCAGGAACACCCAGGGGGGAAACCAGCCGGCUGGGGGACGAGCUGACGCUCAGGGGGCGAAAGCGUGGGGAGCGAACCGGG